rnacentral:rRNA from 1 species
UACGGAGGAUGCGAGCGUUAUCCGGAUUUAUUGGGUUUAAAGGGUGCGUGGGCGGAUCGUUAAGUCAGUGGUCAAAUUGAGGGGCUCAACCCCUUCCCGCCAUUGAAACUGGCGAUCUUGAGUGGAAGAGAAGUAUGCGGAAUGCGUGGUGUAGCGGUGAAAUGCAUGGAUAUCACGCAGAACCCCGAUUGCGAAGGCAGCAUGCCGGCUUCCUACUGACGCUGAAGCACGAAAGCGUGGGGAUCGAACAGG